GACCAUAAUUUGUUCCAUAACUUUGGUGAUUUCUUCAUCUUCUAAUGUUCGUCUUCAGGAAUUUCAGGGUCAGGGGUCGUGUUUGAUCGGCACCCAGGUAUGUGUUCAUGACCAGAUUCAAAAAAUUUUUUGAAUGUUU